CAUUUCUAGCUUGCUAGGAGAUGACGAGCGGCGGACGGGUGAGUAAUACUUGGGGAUCUGCCUGAUGGCGGGGGACAACCACUGGAAACGGUGGCUAAUACCGCAUAAUGCCUACGGGCCAAAGUGUGGGACCUUCGGGCCACAUGCCAUCAGAUGAACCCAAGCGAGAUUAGCUAGUUGGUGAGGUAAUGGCUCACCAAGGCGACGAUCUCUAGCUGUUCUGAGAGGAUGAUCAGCCACACUGGGACUGAGACACGGCCCAGACUCCUACGGGAGGCAGCAGUGGGGAAUAUUGGACAAUGGGCGCAAGCCUGAUCCAGCCAUGCCGCGUGUGUGAAGAAGGCCUUCGGGUUGUAAAGCACUUUCAGUGGUGAGGAAGGCCUUGUAGUUAAUAGCUGCAAGGAUUGACGUUAGCCACAGAAGAAGCACCGGCUAACUCCGUGCCAGCAGCCGCGGUAAUACGGAGGGUGCGAGCGUUAAUCGGAAUUACUGGGCGUAAAGCGCACGUAGGCGGUUUGUUAAGCAAGAUGUGAAAGCCCAGGGCUCAACCUUGGAAUAGCAUUUUGAACUGGCAAGCUAGAGUUUUGAAGAGGGUGGUAGAAUUUCCAGUGUAGCGGUGAAAUGCGUAGAUAUUGGAAGGAAUACCAGUGGCGAAGGCGGCCACCUGGUCAAAAACUGACGCUGAGGAGCGAAAGCGUGGGGAGCAAACAGGAUUAGAUACCCUGGUAGUCCACGCCGUAAACGAUGUCAACUAGUUGUUCGUGUCUUUAAGACGUGAGUAACGCAGCUAACGCACUAAGUUGACCGCCUGGGGGAGUACGGCCGCAAGGUUAAAACUCAAAUGAAUUGACGGGGGCCCGCACAAGCGGUGGAGCAUGUGGUUUAAUUCGAUGCAACGCGAAGAACCUUACCAUCCCUUGACAUCCA
rnacentral:rRNA from 1 species